rnacentral:misc_RNA from 1 species
ACAAACUUGGUCAUUUAGAGGAAGUAAAAGUCGUAACAAGGUUUCCGUAGGUGAACCUGCGGAAGGAUCAUUAUCGAGCUCUUUCAGUCGGGGACUGUGCUGGCCCUCGGGCAUGUGCACGUCCCCUUCCUUUCCACACACCUCGUGCACCUCUAGGCGGCGCUCCCGACGGAAGUCGCCUGUUUUUCACUUGCGCUUUUUUUUUUUCAUUGUAUGUAUUGGGAUGGCUCUAAAUAGUAACAACUUUCAACAACGGAUCUCUUGGCUCUCGCAUCGAUGAAGAACGCAGC